AUAUGCAUUAAAAGCAGCAUUGGCUGGCCCAAUACCAGCAUACCCUUUGCUAUCUUCUACUAGUAAAACUCUUCCAGGGAAUAUGAAAUUAAUGGAGAAAAUAUUGAUUUUGGCUGUUAAUUUGCUUUCAAAAAUUGAAGCUCCUGCAAUCUUGGUAGAAUAAGUCUAAGGCAUAUCUGUUUAUCCAUUUAUUCCUAUUAAAAUGGCACUUCUAGAAAAUAUUAUUUGGUAUUAAUCUGGUGAAUAGUGUUAUAAAUGCCAGAGUUUAUGUUUAUUAUACUUAUUAAACUGGUCCUGAUAUCUCAUAAAAAUAAAAUAAAUGGCAGGGUUAGAAAUUGAAUACUUUGUAUAAUUCUUCAAAUCUUUAAUAUUCUGUUUAUUAAGUUUUUAUUGAAAUACAAUACAUGGAGGACAGAGUGAGUGAGCAGAGUUGCAGAGCUAUAUAGCAGCUGAGCUCCAGCAGUCCUGGGAGAAAAAUCGUCCUGCUGCUGUUUCUUUUAUGAAAAUCUCUUAGACUUUCAAUGUCUCCACAAUUCCUAAAAUUUUGCUUUUUAGAACUAGGAAGAGAAAGUCGCCCCUUUCCUUUAGGAAGCGCUUUUGUUAAAGCAAAAGAACAGAAUUAGUGGCUUUCCACUCAUCCAGAGCUUAUUGCACCUACACUGUCACCUUUCCACAGAGACAGCAUUGGGAGCAAGGAAAGAACCAUGUCAGAGGCUUAAGGCACACAGGUGGGAAUAACCUCGCGGGAAAUCUUGGGCGGAAAAAAUAACACCAAUCCUUACACCAUCAUUUUCCCACCGAAUAAUAAUAGUGACCACCAAUGAGACCAGUGUUUUGCGCAGCACACUUUGAAAACACUCAAAUGCCUCCUAUCACAGUAGCCAUUAGACAAUGAUCACAAAUGUUCACACCUCCCUGGCUCCCUGCCCUUUGCAAUGUGACUCUGUGGCUCCCCCCAUUGAAUGGGGAAGUCUAUUUCAUAGGCCCUGGAAUUGGAUGGAAGGCUGUGAGUUGCUUCUGCCAGUGGAAUUGGUGGAGGUGACAGUAUGCCAGAUCUGAAGCUCAACAUCAAGAGGCCUUGAACCUCUUCACUCACUCCUGUGGAACCCUGUCAUCACCAUGUGACUAAACUUGAGUGAGUAUGCCACACAACGAGAUAAUGGACCAGUCACCCCUGUUGUCUUAGUCAAGAAUCAGCCAAACAUCAGAAAAAACAGUUUUAAGCUUAGAAGGUAGAAGAAGAUCCUCUCAAAGAGCCAGAAGGAUAAAAACAGCAAAAUGGCCCAGACAUACCCUCCUCCCCCCGCCCAAGUCUCCGUCCAGGGGGAAAUGCUGAAGCACAGAGGCUCUCUCCUCUCACAAAAGCAUUCAUGGGUAAACAAAUCGGUGCCAUCUUCCCCGUGCCCCGAGAAGCUGUGAGUGCAGCCCGGGGAGAAGGGAUCUGUCUUCGAGGCCAACAAAACAACUGCAAGCUGCUCACAGAAACCAGGGGCUCGCUGGACCCACGGAAUUCCCACGCCGUGCACUCGAAGCACUUUGCUAGUGCCGUUUGCUAGGAUGCAGCCAGCUAAUUGAAUUUAAAUUAAUGAUGUGCAUUUCUUUUAGUUUAAGCUGUUAAACUGUAUUUCCAUGUUUGAUAGCCAUUUGCUAAAUCUUGGGGAAAACAUUACAUAUAUAAUAAUAUUCUGGAAUCCCCUGUAGCAACAACAACAACAAAAAGCUAACAAGUCAUAUAUGAUGUACUCAUUUGCAACACAUCUGUAUGUUUUGAAACAUUAGCAUAAACAAAAGAAGGAUUGAGUGAUUGAUGUGAAUUCUAAUUCAGGUAUUACUUAGGACAACUAUGUCAGAAAACAAAGAUAUGCUUUUAUCUUUCUCAGAACUGACUUCUUUAAAAGAGAAAACUAAGACAUUAAAGAAAUAAUUUUUCAUAACAUAAAAAUUCUUCCAAUAAUUUAAUCAGACAUAAUUCUUAUUUUCUUUAGCUCCCUGAACCCUAAAUGGCAGAGGUAAAAAACAAUUUACUCAUAGCCAAUUAAUUUGAAAAACUAAAUAGGAAAUCUUUUCAUAGCAUAAGUGACUUGAUUUUUUGCACUUUGCUAAUUUGGGGGAAAAUGCAAGCGGUUGCAAAAAAAUUAAUGAAGAACAUUUAAAACAGAUUUCUUGAAGUUUUUCUCAUUAUCAUCUAUAGUGAAUUUAUCACACAAAAAAAACAUAGACAAAAGGCUUAAAUUUGGUUUAUAUUACGAUGGGCAUGCUCUUUUCUUAUAAUAUUGCAAUGGAAAUGACACUGAGCUAAUGGCUAGAAGACCUAGGUCUUAUUCCAUCUCUAGCACUCAGAACCAGGAAAGCUCAGGUUGUUGCCUAACACAGCUAUAAACUGUUUGACUCAUGCAUUAACUCAUUACACUAAGAGUAGGUUGAAAUAUAGAAAAUUGUCAAUAUUUGGCCACUUUUGACCAUAUAAAUGACCAUUUUAUAUGGUUCAAUCUAAUACUGCUCUGUCAUGUAGGGUUAAUGCAUGAAAAAAAUUAAAACAUUUUGGGAUGCCAUAAAAUGCAUGUAAAUGUAAGGUUUUUAUUAUUCACACAGGAAAACCAUUUUUUUUGUGUGUGUGGCUGUAAUAAUAAUUGAUAUAGGUCACAACACAUUGAUUUUCCUGAGAUGCAAAAAGGAUUGAGGAGACUGGGUGGCAUGAACACAUUUUUAUGAUCAUUCACUUCUCUAUUAAGAGGACUAUAAUUUGGCCUUCCUUUACAUUAAAAAAUUAAUAAUAAUGUGAGUUAGAAACUGAUUAGCAGGCGAAGUCUUUUUUAACCUAUUACACAAAUUAAUGAACUGGCUUCUCUGUUGCCAUCAUCUGGAUGCAAAUCAUUUGAAAUCGGGUACAAAUGUGUCUUUUCUUUAAACACUAGACUCUGGUUCAAAAGCAAGCCAUUUGGAUAUUGACAGAUAAUCAUCUUCAGCUCCCCCCCUGGCCAGGCACAAACACCAACCCUCUCUACUCACUCGCAUCCUACACCCCACACCCUCCAUCCCACAGCAUGCCUGAGUGAACCCAGCAGCGACUCCUUUUUGCUAAGUUAGUUGUGCUAGCCUUAGCUCAGCCAGCCCCCAGCCCCUGUCCUGUGAGGUGAGGUCCUAUGGAAGUAGCCAGCCCAACUGCAGAGGUGAAGAUGAGGCACCAGGAAAUGCUCUGGUGGAAUCCAGUAGUCUCAGAAAGAACAAACAAGUUUCUUCGUUUCUUAAGACUAACUUAUGAUUGUGGUCUCUUGUAGGGCCCACGUUGACUUCCUGUCCCCAGGUUGUGUAAAUUAUUGUGCAUUCUUAUCAUUUUUACAUAAGCUGAUCUGAAUGGGUUUCUGCCAGGGCUCACACUCAGGAUACAUACCUAUUCCAGGGACCUUUGGCUCAUUUACAAAUCACUAGACACAAUCCUUCUUCUCUCUGUACAUUUAUAUCUUGCUAUUUUCUGUGAGUUAUAUCAACAUUUACAGUUUUUAAGGCCAUCACUUAUGAGAUUUAUAUUCAAGUGACUUUGGCUUUUAACCAGAUUCAAAUUCACUCCAAUUUUUAAAUGAAAACAAACAAACAUACAAACAAAAAAACACAGGAGUUAGGAUCAUUAAAGCUCUUCAGAAGGCUGUGCUGUGAGACUGGAAAUCCACAUCCAAAGAGGA